UGACGUCGUGCUUCUCGUCUGAAAGUGAAAAAGGUAUUUGACUUCGUCAUUUCUUCCUUAGGCAAAUAUUUUUACCCCUCCAUGAGUUGGGCGAUUUCAACUAAGUGGUUGUACUUAACGGCAAUAGAAAAUAUUUGGAAAUGUACUGGUUUCAUUAUGACUAUGACUGAAGAAUUGAACUCUUCAAUUUUUCAGUCGUCUUUUAAUUGUACUAGGAGAAAGGCUGACGACCACUUCUUCUAUUUAAGAAAUAUUUCCUGCAUAACGUUUAUCAUUCACUUUCCUAUCAUCCACUUUACACAUUCGUCGUCUAUGCCAAUGUCAGCCAACAGAAAAUACAUGUAGUGACAGCUUCAUUUGUUGGCUUAAAAUUUGCCCUUUAUCGCCUCAUUUAAUUGUAUCUUGUGAAAUAUUCUCGUUGAUCCUCCAAUCACUUUAACUUCAUUUAAUUCUACUGACUGUCCGCAACUGAGUGACUUUGACUAAUUCUCUUUAACUUACUAACUCUCUCUCUCUCUCUCUCUCUCUCUCUCUCUCUCUC